UACGGGGGGUGCGAGCGUUGUUCGGAAUUAUUGGGCGUAAAGGGCGUGCAGGCGGUUUUGUAAGUCUGAUGUGAAAGCCCCGGGCCUAACCCGGGAAGUGCAUUGGAUACUGCAAGACUUGAGUUCGGGAGAGGAGAGUGGAAUUCCUGGAGUAGGGGUGAAAUCCGUAGAUAUCAGGAAGAACACCGGUGGCGAAGGCGGCUCUCUGGACCGAUACUGACGCUGAGACGCGAAAGCGUGGGUAGCAAACAGG
rnacentral:rRNA from 1 species